UGAUGUUUUGCCAGAGUGGUUAAUGGGUAUGACUCGAAUGUCCUUUCAAAACAAGGUCCAAUAGAUAUCAUAUGUCUUCGGACGCACAGGUUCGAAUCCUGUAGACAUCGUAGG